rnacentral:rRNA from 1 species
AUUGGAACGCUGGCGGCAUGCCUUACACAUGGCAAGUCGAACGGCAGCACGGGAGCAAGUCCUGGUGGCGAGUCGGCGAACGGGUGAGUAAUAUAUCGGAACGUGCCCAGUCGUGGGGGAUAACGCAGCGAAAGUUGUGCUAAUACCGCAUACGAUCUAUGGAUGAAAGCGGGGGAUCGCAAGACCUCGCGCGAUUGGAGCGGCCGAUAUCAGAUUAGGUUGUUGGUGAGGUAAAAGCUCACCAAGCCUGCGAUCUGUAGCUGGUCUGAGAGGACGACCAGCCACACUGGAACUGAGACACGGUCCAGACUCCUACGGGAGGCAGCAGUGGGGAAUUUUGGACAAUGGACGCAAGUCUGAUCCAGCAAUGCCGCGUGAGUGAAGAAGGCCCUCGGGUUGUAAAGCUCUUUUGUCCGGAAAGAAAAGCGCCGGGUUAAUACCCUGGUGUCCUGACGGUACCGGAAGAAUAAGCACCGGCUAACUUCGUG